rnacentral:rRNA from 1 species
UACAGAGGUCCCGAGCGUUGUUCGGAUUCAUUGGGCGUAAAGGGUGCGUAGGCGGUUUGCUAAGUUUGAUGUGAAAUCCCGGGGCUCAACCCCGGAAUUGCAUUGAAUACUGGUGAACUAGAGUACUGGAGAGGAAACUGGAAUUUACGGUGUAGCAGUGAAAAUGCGUAGAGAUCGUAAGGAAAGACCAGUGGCGAAAGGGCGAGUUUUCUGGGACAGUUUACUGACGCUGAGGGCACGAAAGGGCCCAGGGGGAGCAAAAACGGGGGAUUUAG